rnacentral:rRNA from 1 species
UACGUAGGUGGCAAGCGUUGUCCGGAUUUAUUGGGUUUAAAGGGUGCGUAGGCGGCUUUGUAAGUCAGUGGUGAAAUAUGGCAGCUUAACUGUCAGGGUGCCAUUGAUACUGCAGAGCUUGAGUACAGAUGAGGUAGGCGGAAUUGACGGUGUAGCGGUGAAAUGCUUAGAUAUCGUCAAGAACACCUAUAGCGAAGGCAGCUUACUAGGCUGUAACUGACGCUGAGGUACGAAAGUGUGGGGAUCAAACAGG